GGAAGUAAAAGCGUAACAAGGUCACCGUUGGUGAACCAGCGGAGGGAUCAUUACAGAGUUGCAAAACUCCCAAACCAUUGUGAACGUUACCUAUCCCGUUGCUUCGGCGGGCGGCCCGGGCCCCGCGCCCGGCGCCCCCCGGCCCCCCGUGGGCGCCCGCCGGAGGUAAACCAAACCCUUGAAUUGCAUGGCCUCUCUGAGUCUUCUGUACUGAAUAAGUCAAAACUUUCAACAACGGAUCUCUUGGUUCUG
rnacentral:misc_RNA from 1 species